UUGUCGUCAGCUCGUGCCGUGAGAUGUUGGGUUAAGUCCCGUAACGAGCGCAACCCUUGUCCUUAGUUACCAGCACGUUAUGGUGGGCACUCUAAGGAGACUGCCGGUGACAAACCGGAGGAAGGUGGGGAUGACGUCAAGUCAUCAUGGCCCUUACGGCCUGGGCUACACACGUGCUACAAUGGUCGGUACAAAGGGUUGCCAAGCCGCGAGGUGGAGCUAAUCCCAUAAAACCGAUCGUAGUCCGGAUCGCAGUCUGCAACUCGACUGCGUGAAGUCGGAAUCGCUAGUAAUCGUGAAUCAGAAUGUCACGGUGAAUACGUUCCCGGGCCUU
rnacentral:rRNA from 1 species